rnacentral:rRNA from 1 species
AUUGAACGCUGGCGGCAGGCCUACCACAUGCAAGUCGAGCGGAUGAGAGGAGCUUGCUUCUCGAUUCAGCGGCGGACGGGUGAGUAAUGCCUAGGAAUCUGCCUGGUAGUGGGGGACAACGUUUCGAUAGGAACGCUAAUACCGCAUACGUCCUACGGGAGAAAGCAGGGGACCUUCGGUCCUUGCGCUAUCAGAUGAGCCUAGGUCGGAUUAGCUAGUUGGUGAGGUAAUGGCUCACCAAGGCGACGAUCCGUAACUGGUCUGAGAGGAUGAUCAGUCACACUGGAACUGAGACACGGUCCAGACUCCUACGGGAGGCAGCAGUGGGGAAUAUUGGACAAUGGGCGAAAGCCUGAUCCAGCCAUGCCGCGUGUGUGAAGAAGGUCUUCGGAUUGUAAAGCACUUUAAGUUGGGAGGAAGGGUUGUAGAUUAAUACUCUGCAAUUUUGACGUUACCGACAGAAUAAGCACCGGCUAACUCUGUGCCAGCAGCCGCCGUAAGAC